UUACAAAUUUUGUUUAUACUGCAAAGAUAUUCUGGGACAAUAGUAAAAGUGGAAGAUUUCUCCAUUUAUUGGAAGGAUUCAGAAUGGCGAAACCUACAAGUAAAACUUAUUCAUAACUAAUUUUUGUUAUAUUAUUUUAGACUAUGAUUUCAAAAUAAUAAUAAGUAAAAUCCACUAACUUAUUUUUAUAGGUUCAGUGGGAUGAAGCUGCAACAAUUUCAAGACCUAAUAAGGUCUCUCCAUGGGAAAUCGAGCCUUUAAUUCGAAAAAACAAACGCCAACGCGAAAUUAACGAAAUUGGUAAGAAAAUACUUUUAAAUAAUUUAUGCUUCUUUGUGUAUCCAUUAUCAUCAUAUUUCUAUAUAUAAGUUCAAAUAUGAUAAUUCAUAUGUUGACUCAAAGCCAAUAAAUUGGAGAAUCAAGUAUAAAAUCUUCGACAAGUCUUCCUCAACUUAUUUAUCAGAAUGAAACUAAUGAUUCAAAAAUUUCAUCUGGUUGGCUAGUGAGCUAUGCAGGUCUUGCUAUGUCCAAACCAUAUUACAAUGACCAAAUGGUCCAGUCAACAAAAGAAAAUUCAACCACCAAUGCAUCUAGUAGCUUCAGAUUGUUUGGAGUUGAUCUAACGGCUUCUACCAAAGCAAGAGAUGUUUUGGAACCACUUGAAUCAUACCAAAAGAGUAAAAUUUCUGAAAUCUUUGAUGAAGAAAAGCUUGAUCAAAUUCAAGCAGUGACAUCACUAACAGAAAUCCAAACGAAGAAAAUAAGGUGUACUACAAGUAGUACCAAGGUAUGACUAAGAGCAUCUUCUACUUAUUCUUUACUUUUUAGUCAAUUCUAAAAUUAUUAAUUAUUAAUAACUAGAACAUGAUAAGACAUAGGCUUUGUAAAAUUAUUCAUGUUCUUUUUAAGAAAAGACUAGAUUUUAUAUAUGGUUGCACACAUAGUUUUAUUCUAAUACAGUAGAUUUGAUAUUGAUAAGAAACUUGAAUAACUUUUUAACCAGAUUGAGAUGACUAUAUUUAAUUCACAAACACUUGAUAUGUUUAUUGACCAGGUUCACAUGGAAGGUGUUGUUAGAACUGUUGAUUUAACUGAUUUUGAUGGAUACAAUCACAUGAUCCUUGAACUAGAAAAACUCUUUAAUAUCGAAGGCAAGUUGCAUAUGCACAGUCAAUGGAAACUAACCUUUAAAGUUCAUGAAGGAGAUAUGAUGCUUGUUGGAGACGAUUCAUGGCUGAAAUUUUGCAACACCGUGAAGGAAAUAUUCAUAUGUUCAAAAUAAGAUGCCAUAAAAUGAAAUUUGAGAACCAAUUCUCUAAAGGUGACUCAGCAUUUACAAAAAUAAUUUCACCGUCCGAUGUCGAGACAGUCAAAAAGGGGUUUUGUUACUUUUAAUGCGUUUUUAUAUAAUACUAGGGUUUGAUCUCUGUUCACCCAGAUAUUUUACUUUUAUUUAACAUUUGUGUUUAACUUGAAGAGUUUGGUUUUAUAUUAUGUGUGAUAUUUAUUAUUGUGAUUGCUCUUCUUUACUUUUAUCAACUCUUUUCAUUGAACUUAUUUGUUAUAAGGAGAUUAAGACUCAGUUUUGUUGUGUUUACUAAAUUGCCUUAUACAAUUACUGAGAUAGUUUGAAUGGGACUAUGUUCUGUUUUUAUUUUGGCGAUAGAACUUUUAAUCAUUUUCUUAUUUUAAAUCAUCUAGUUUCAUGUCUGCUCUUAUUUGUUUUUGGUAAGUUGUUUUAUAUUGCAUUCUUUCGAAUUGUGCAACUAUAUAUUUUUAUUUCCAUAUCAAUAUUGGAAUUAUGGUUGAGUUUUUUUUAAAAAAUUAUGUAUGUUACCUUACAAUUUAUUUCUAUAUAAUAACUGUAGAUCUCUUAUUUCUGUCAUGUAAACAAACUUUUAGUUUGUUUGUAGUACUAACAUAUGGUUAUUAACAUUUACCAACUAAGCUAAUGGAGAUUUUAGGUUAAAAUAGUUGAAAUAUUACAUAUUAUUUUCAAGGCUGGAAGCACAUGCUACCCCAGCUUCUAUCCAGGGCCGACACUGCUUACAUCGUGAUGAAAAUCUUGUGAACAAGAUCGAAGAUAUUUCUAAAUACAUGAACGUUUAAGUGGAAGAGUUGUGUAAGAGAGUUGACGUGCUCACCAGGCUUCACUAUGCCUCAUCAAAAUCAAUGCCAUAAGCUCUGUUCUUUUUUUUUUAAUUUAUGCUUUCUUGAGUUUAAAGUCUUUUGAUUUGUUAGCAUCAUCUUCUGAAUGGAUUUAGGUAUUGGCUUUUGUAAUAACUUGGCUAUGUUGUUUUGUUUCUUAAUCAAACCAACUCUGUUUUUAGUCCUUUACAUAGAGAAUCAUGAAGAUAUAAAACAUAAUUGUGAAUA